GUGUUCGCUUUGUCAGCAUAUACACUAAAACUGGAACAAUACAGAGAAAAUUAGCAUGGCCCCUGCACAAAGAUGAAAUAAAACUUCAUGAAGCAUUCCAUUAAAAA